GGACAAAAUAAGAUGAGUAGCAUGAAAUCAUAUCCAAAGGUUUAAAAUGUAAUGUGGUAUUAAUAACUUAUUUUAUCAGCAAAAGCAUAAAGAAAAUAAGCGUUGGAAAAAUUGUGAUGUAUUUUUGAACGCAUGCACAAAAACGUAGUUUUAUUUUUAUUACGAGCAAGAAAUAUGGCCUUGAUUCGGAAUCUCGCAACAAACAUACAAAAUUUCGACAGCAACUACUAAAUCUAUGUGCAACAGUUGGUAUUAUUAUUGUUGACAUAUAUUAUUUGCACUCACUCUUUCGGUCUGCGAUAUUUCGAGAUUAUUAGACCAUUCGGUUAGAGACGUGGUCUGGUCAGACGUUGAAAAUGAAAUCUUCAAAGAAAGGUGAAAAACAAGUUAUCGCAAUCACCAAAUUCUUCCAAAGGAAAGAUAUAUUAGGAAGUAGAGAAGAUUUUAUUUCCGAAAGUAUAAAAAAACAUACAGAAAAAAUCAAAAGCGAAAAGAGUGUUGCGCCAACGAACCCUGGACCUUGUUGUAUUGCAAACACGGAAUUAAAAACAGUGAACGAAAAAGAAAAAAAUGUUGAAGCUUGCUGCAAUGCAAAAAUCGAACUAAAAAAAGCAAAGCAGCUGAUAAAAAAACUGACAGAAAUUCAUUUGAAAAAAGAUUUAGAAAUAGAAGAAUUGAAAAAGAAGUUAAAGAAAACAAAUUUUGAUUCGACACAAACAUCUACGGAACAAUUAGAUACACACAAGCACCUGUUUAAUUCAGACGAAUUAAGAAAAAUCCGUUCAAUAAAAUCAGGGAGUGAACAUGAUUCAAAUUUUGUGCUAAAUGUUGUGCAAUUAUUGUACAAAGGAACGGAAGAAAAGCUGACAAAUCGAUCUGUGUGUAGCCGAAAACAUAAAGGCAUAAAAAAAAAGGAUUAACACCAGAAAAAAAAGAAAUAGUAAAAAAAAUGUUCGAAGAAAGAACGCACAACGAAUUAAAUCAAAAAGAAAGGAUGUCAUCGAUGAACCGUUAUUUAAAAUCAGCAAUAUUCAAUAUUUCAAGACGAUCAAUUCACAAUAUUAAAAAUGGAGAGACAAAUGAGCCGGAAAAACAUAAUACAGAACAUCACGAAAAUUUACAUCAUCAAAGACACCAAUACGUCAACAUGUAUCACCACAAUCAUGCGUAUGACCAAAAUCAACAAUACACAAACAUGUAUCGACAUAAUCAAGCAAAUGAACAAAAUCAAAUGUAUACGCAGAACCAAGCAUAUAACAAUCAAAUCGGCUAUCAACCACAUCAAAAUUAUUAUUACCAAGAUCAACAACAUCAGUUUAAUCAACAAUGCUUUCAAAAUCCGUUUCACUAUUGACGUUCAAAUGUAUCA